GGUCACUGCUAUUGGGAUUCGACUAAGCCAUGCGAGUCGAGAGGGUUCGGCCCUCGGCUGACGGCUCAGUAACACGUGGAUAAUCUGCCCUUAGGUGGAGGAUACCCUCGGGAAACUGAGAAUAAUACUCCAUAGGUCUAGGAUGCUGGAAUGCAUCUAGACUGAAAACUCCGGUGCCUAAGGAUGAGUCUGCGGACUAUCAGGUUGUAGUCAGGGUAAAGACCUGACUAGCCUACGACGGAUACGGGUUGUGAGAGCAAUAACCCGGAGACGAUAUCUGAGACACGAUAUCGGGCCCUAUGGGGCGCAGCAGGCGCGAAAACUUCACACUGUGCGAAAGCGCGAUGAGGGAAUCCCAAGUGUUUGCUCGUAAGAGUAAACUGUUUCUUUGUUUAAAACGCAGAGAGAGUAAGGGCUGGGUAAGACGGGUGCCAGCCGCCGCGGUAAUACCUGCAGCUCAAGUGGUGAUCAUUAUAUUGGGCCUAAAACGUCCGUAGCCGGUUUAGUAAAUGCCUGGGUAAAUCGUAUAGCUUAACUAUACGACUUCCGGGUAGACUGCUAAACUUGAGACCGGGAGAGGCUAGAGGUACUCCUGGGGUAGAGGUGAAAUUCUGUAAUCCUAGGGGGACCACCAGUGGCGAAGGCGUCUAGCUAGAACGGGUCUGACGGUGAGGGACGAAGCCCUGGGGCACAAACCGGAUUAGAUACCCGGGUAGUCCAGGGUGUAAACGCUGCUUGCUUGAUGUUAGUUGGGCUCCGAGCCCAACUAGUGUCGGAGAGAAGUUGUUAAGCAAGCUGCCUGGGAAGUACGGUCGCAAGGCUGAAACUUAAAGGAAUUGGCGGGGGAGCACAGCAACGGGUUGAUCCUGCCGGA
rnacentral:rRNA from 1 species